UACAGAGGUGGCAAGCGUUGUUCGGAUUUAUUGGGCGUAAAGCGUCCGUAGGUGGUUUUGUCAGUCUGCUGUGAAAGCACAGGGCUUAACCCUGUAAAGGCAGUGGAAACUACAAGACUAGAGUGCAGUAGGGGCAGAGGGAAUUCCCAGUGUAGCGGUGAAAUGCGUAGAGAUUGGGAAGAACAUCCGUGGCGAAAGCGCGCUGCUGGACUGCAACUGACAUUGAGGGACGAAAGCUAGGGGAGCGAAUGGG
rnacentral:rRNA from 1 species